rnacentral:rRNA from 1 species
GUCGAACGCUGGCGGCGUGCUUAACACAUGCAAGUCGAACGGGCCUUGUCCCCUUUUUUUUUGGGGGUGGGGUUAGUGGCGAACGGGUGAGUAACACGUGAGUAACCUGCCCCUCACUUCUGGAUAACCGCUUGAAAGGGUGGCUAAUACGGGGUGUUCUGGCCUGCUCGCAUGGGUGGGUUUGGAAAGAUUCGACCGGUUUUGGUUGUUUUGGUGGGGGAUGGGCUCGCGGCCUAUCAGCUUGUUGGUGGGGUGAUGGCCUGCCAAGGCUUUGACGGGUAGCCGGCCUGAGAGGGUGCGCGGUCACACUGGGACUGAGACACGGCCCAGACUUCUACGGGAGGCAGCAGUGGGGAAUAUUGCACAAUGGGCGCAAGCCUGAUGCAGCGACGCCGCGUGAGGGAUGGAGGCCUUCGGGUUGUGAACCUCUUUCGCCAGUGAAGAAGGUCCUGCUCUUUGUGGUGGGGUUGACGGUAGCUGGGUUAAUGAAGCGCCGGCUAACUACGUG